rnacentral:rRNA from 1 species
AUUGAACGCUGGCGGCAGGCCUAACACAUGCAAGUCGAACGAGUGGCGGACGGGUGAGUAAUGUCUGGGACACUGCCUGAUGGAGGGGGAUAUCUACUGGACACGGUAGCUAAUACCGCAUACCAUCAGAUGCCCCCAGAUGGGAUUCGCUAGUUGGUGGGGUAACGGCUCACCAAGGCGACGAUCCCUAGCUGGUCUGAGAGGAGGACCAGCCACACUGGAACUGAGACACGGUCCAGACUCCUACGGGAGGCAGCAGUGGGGAAUAUUGCACAAUGGGCGCAAGCCUGAUGCAGCCAUGCCGAGUGUAUGAAGAAGGCCUUCGGGGUGUAAAGUACGUUCAGCGGGGAGGCGUUACCCGCAGAAGAAGCACCGGCUAACUCCGUGCCAGCAGCCGCGGUAAUAC